GAUGAACGCUGGCGGCGUGCUUAAUACAUGCAAGUCGAGCGAACAGAUGAGGAGCUUGCUCCUCUGACGUUAGCGGCGGACGGGUGAGUAACACGUGGAUAACCUACCUAUAAGACUGGGAUAACUUCGGGAAACCGGAGCUAAUACCGGAUAAUAUAUUGAACCGCAUGGUUCAAUAGUGAAAGACGGUUUUGCUGUCACUUAUAGAUGGAUCCGCGCCGCAUUAGCUAGUUGGUAAGGUAACGGCUUACCAAGGCAACGAUGCGUAGCCGACCUGAGAGGGUGAUCGGCCACACUGGAACUGAGACACGGUCCAGACUCCUACGGUAGGAAGCAGUAGGGAAUCUUCCGCAAUGGGGGAAAGCCUGACGGAGCAACGCCGCGUGAGUGAUGAAGGUCUUCGGAUCGUAAAACUCUGUUAUUAGGGAAGAACAAAUGUGUAAGUAACUAUGCACGUCUUGACGGUACCUAAUCAGAAAGCCACGGCUAACUACGUG
rnacentral:rRNA from 1 species